rnacentral:rRNA from 1 species
GUUAGCUAGUUGGUAAGGUAACGGCUUACCAAGGCAAUGAUGCAUAGCCGAGUUGAGAGACUGAUCGGCCACAUUGGGACUGAGACACGGCCCAAACUCCUACGGGAGGCAGCAG